UGAUUGAAUAUCAUUGGUUUAAAGUUAUAGGAAAUUGUAAAACACAAAAAAAA
rnacentral:sRNA from 1 species